rnacentral:misc_RNA from 1 species
UCCCCGUUACCGGGGCAGUCUGGCUAGAAAAAUACAACUAACCAUAAGGGUUGCGCUCGUUGAUGGACUUAACCAAACAUCUCACGACACGAGCUGAAGACGGCCAUGCAGCACCUGUCACUUGGCUCCCGAAGGCACUCACUGCUUUCACAGUAAUUCCAAGGAUGUCAAGCCUGGGUAAGGUUCUUCGCUUACCAUCGAAUUAAACAACACACUCCACCGCUUGUGCAGCUCCCCGUCAAUUCCUUUGAGUUUUAGUCUUGCGACCGUACUCCCCAGGCGGGAUGCUUAACGCGUUAGCUUCGCUACAUACCGGGUCGAUACGGCAUACAGCUAGCAUCCAUAGUUUACGGCGUGGACUAC